AGCCCAACUUGGAGACUUAUUAUUAAUUAUGAAAGCUUGGCCUUAGCUUAGGCUUGUUUCUAACUAGCUCUUACCUAUAUUUUUUAAUCUACUCUGCCACGUGCCUCUGUUACUUCUUCUUAGCACGGUACAUCCUACUUGCUCCGAGUCUGCUGGUGAAAUUGCAGGUCUAGAUUCCUCCUUCCAGAGUGUCUCUCUCUCUCUCUCUCUCUCUCUCUCUCUCUCUCUCUCUCUGCCUGGAAGUCCUGCCUAGCUAUUGGCCAUUUAGCUCUUUAUUAAACCAAUCAGAAGGCGUCAUAGGUAGACACACCUUUACAGUGUAAACAGAUAUUCCACAAUAUACACCCUCAUUCUCAAACUGCUGACGGUUUCUUAUUAGUAACUGGUUCUCUCUCUGAGAAACACACACAUGUGGGUACAGUGAGAGUCUCAGUGAAUUCCACAACCAGGAAUUUCCUCAGAAAGCUUUGAACUCUGUGGCAUUGUGAGCAGUUUGACCCAUUAAAGGGAUAAUUUGGUAGAUGGGGAGGGGGCUGGGAAUCAAGGAUUAUUAGCAGCUUGGCCCAAAUUGUGAGGCAGAAGACUUGAUCUUUAUUCAAAAAAAGAAUUUGAUGCCAGCAGGGUUAAGGAAGUGUGUGAGUGUGAAGGUAGAAAAUCACAGCACUCCCAUCACAGCACCCUGUCAUCUACACAUGAAGAGCUGCAAGCUGGUGGUGACCUGGGAAAGCCCCCAAAGUGCUCAGCAGUACCCAAGCUUUCCCCAAGGCCUGGACGUUAUCUUGCCAUUGCAGAAAACCCAAGAGCACCUCUUUUUCCAUCCCCUGGUGCCCUCAUUCUUAGCUAGAAGUGGACGUCAAGUUCCCCUCCCUAGUUCUGGAUUUUACCAUUUCCCUUUCUCCUGCUCUCAUGAACUUCAGUUUUAACCAAGGCAUGGAAGAGAUGCCAUCUAACCCAUGCCUGUCCACAGGAUUGGCCCUCUGUUCCCACAUGCAUCCUAAUUUUCCUAUGAAUACAUCAAUCCUGUUGGAUCAAGUGCACCCGAUGAUUUCAUUUUACCUUCAUAGCUACUUUCCUGUCUCUAAUUACCCUCCCAUCCUUAGACACCAGGAGCUAGAGCUUCAGCAUAUGAAUUGGUGGUGGGGGAGCAUAAUUCAGCUCACAUCAGAAUCUAUUUCCGACAAGAUGGUGAUUAUAUAUCCUGCCCAAGCCACCUGCUGAAAGUCACCAAAAUUCCACUUAGAAUAUGCAAAACAUCUUUUUAAAAUGCAUCACAGAACAGAACAAACUAAAUUGAAAUGGAGACCCAGAUAAAUAACUGGAGCAAUGAAACUGACUACACACAGUUGCAGGCUCUUAUCAGAACCCAUGAAGAACUAAGCAUUGACUCUGCAGCCAUCACCCAGAGGCAGAGGAAGCAAGAUGAGAAUGCCUCACUGAUAGCAGGACUCUGGGGCCUGGUCAACAAUGCUGGCAUCUCCAUCCCCUUGGGUCCCAAUGAGUGGAUGAACAAAGAGGAUUUUGCAAAGAUACUGGAUAUGAACCUGUUGGGCAUGAUCAAGGGCUAAAGUUAUUGGACAAAAUGUGCAAAGAGGACCUCUCCUUGGUGACGGACUGCGUGGAGCAUGUGCUGACUUCCUGUCACUCCCAGACUCGAUUCUCAGCUGGUUGGGAUGCCAAGCUCUUCUUCAUCCCUGUGAGCUACCUGCCCAUUUUUCUCGAGGAUGCCAUGUUCUACAGGACCUCCCCAAAGCCUGACAAAGCUCUGUGAAGCCUGCAUCUGUUUCCGUUGUUGGGGGUAUAAGAGUGCAGUGUGAGGGAGAGGAUCCUCAGGAGAAGGCAGAUGCUGGGCUCGGGACAAACUUGUCAUUGGGAGGGACAUCUCCAGGCACCUGACUUGUCUUCCUUCAGUAUGGCCAUGGAGAACAUAGAGCCACAGGAAGAACUUCUAUGUUUAAACAAUGAUUCUAAUUUUGAUAAAAAUAAAAAAGUGAUCUUCCAUUA